UGGGGAAUUUUGGACAAUGGGCGCAAGCCUGAUCCAGCCAUGCCGCGUGCAGGAUGAAGGCCUUCGGGUUGUAAACUGCUUUUGUACGGAACGAAAAGAACUCUGGUUAAUACCUGGGUCCGAUGACGGUACCGUAAGAAUAAGCACCGGCUAACUACGUGCC
rnacentral:rRNA from 1 species